UUAUAAGCUUAACUAUUAAAUCUUAACCGCCUAAAGGCACUUGUACAUAUUAAAGCAAUAAGGCUACUUUGCCUAUGCAUCUUCUACAGAGUACACUGGCUAUGUGAUGUGUUUGCUUCAGCCUAAUGGCUACAGCAAGAUGGGUUUCCUAUCUCUGCAAGAUUACGGCUUUUCUGGAGUAGAAUGCUAUGAGGAAAGAAGCUGCCACAGGAAUAAACACUGCAUGCCCCUUUGAACAAGUGAAGCAUUUUGUGUGCAUAGAGUUCAUGGCGACUAGCCAGGAUUAUAUUAUAAGGACAUAUGGGAUGAAGAUAGUGAAGCAAACAGUAUGAAUUCAAAAACUUUGUUAUGAUGUCCAGAAGGCUGUCAUCUUGGGGCAUGACCAGAAUAUAUGGAACACAUUGGUGUUUAAAGCUCUGCAUCUCCAACAAGUAUUAUUACCAUCCAUAUACAUUUGAUUUGGGGCUUCUUAAUUUAAACAAGUCUUAUUACCUUUUCCCUUUGUAUGCUAUCUGGCAGCUCAAAACCUUUUGCAGCUAUGAAGGCCCAGCUUGACCUGAAUCGCAAAUUCCGUAUUUCUUUACUUCCUAGAUCUGCUAUUGCCUUUUUUGCAUCCUCCGUUAACCUGUGUGAGAGAGAAGGGAUUAAUUCAAUUUUGUACCUUUGUCUACUCAUAUUAGUUAAUUUAGCCCAUAUGGUUGAAUCUAGACGCUCAGAACAUGGCCUUCUAAUAAGUGUGUUCUUGAUUUUUUCCAUUUAUUUUAUUCCUUUGACUACUCAUCUUUGCUAAAAGCAAAAGUCUAGAUAGGAUAUAUUUCUUCCAAAAUUCUUAUUCAGAUUUGUUUCUUGUUAAAAUACUUUCUUCUGACAUAUAUAAAUAAAGAUUAA